UACGUAGGGUGCGAGCGUUGUCCGGAAUUACUGGGCGUAAAGAGCUCGUAGGCGGUCUGUCGCGUCGGUCGUGAAAACCUGCAGCUUAACUGUGGGCGUGCGGUCGAUACGGGCAUGACUGGAGUUCGGCAGGGGAGACUGGAAUUCCUGGUGUAGCGGUGAAAUGCGCAGAUAUCAGGAGGAACACCGGUGGCGAAGGCGGCAUCCUGGACCGGCAUUGACGCUGAGGCGCGAAAGCCAGGGGAGCAAACGGG
rnacentral:rRNA from 1 species